rnacentral:sRNA from 1 species
UAAAAUGGUUACGCAGCUUUCACAGGCUGA